GAUUGACCUCGGAUCAGGUAGGGAUACCCGCUGAACUUUAAGCAUAUCAAUAG
rnacentral:rRNA from 1 species